GUGGGGAAUCUUGCGCAAUGGGCGAAAGCCUGACGCAGCCAUGCCGCGUGAAUGAUGAAGGUCUUAGGAUUGUAAAAUUCUUUCACCGGGGACGAUAAUGACGGUACCCGGAGAAGAAGCCCCGGCUAACUUCGUGCCAGCAGCCGCGGUAAUACGAAGGGGGCUAGCGUUGCUCGGAAUUACUGGGCGUAAAGGGCGCGUAGGCGGACAGUUUAGUCAGAGGUGAAAGCCCAGGGCUCAACCUUGGAAUUGCCUUUGAUACUGGCUGUCUUGAGUACGGGAGAGGUGAGUGGAACUCCGAGUGUAGAGGUGAAAUUCGUAGAUAUUCGGAAGAACACCAGUGGCGAAGGCGACUCACUGGCCCGUUACUGACGCUGAGGCGAGAAAGCGUGGGGAGCAAACAGGAUUAGAUACCCUAGUAGUCC
rnacentral:rRNA from 1 species